GGACUUCAGUGUUCCUUUUGGGUCCCUCCCAAUUUAGGAUAUUCUAUGAUUCUAUGAUUCUGUCAUUGUUCUCUUUUCACCCAUGUGGCUAAAGAGAAGUAUUUUUAUUAUUUGCAGUAUUUGUCAUUUCAGAUAACCCACAUCUCACUUCCAGUUCUCACUUUGUUCCUGAAUUACUGGAUUACUAAUCUACAGCUGGCACCCCAUUCUGCUCCUUUUAAGCAAUCUACUAACUCCUGAUAGUCAAGGCUGAUGAUCUAAUUUUAGUCCUGACAGUGCAAUUCAGUUUUCAGUCUUAACACUGAAACUCAGUGGAGCAAAAUCCACUAAUGGGACCCCUGUAUUAGUUAGCAUAGCACUUCCUAAAAUGCUAAAAGCACUGCUUAUAUUAAUUGUCCUGAAGACACUUGACGUAAAUGGGAUGAAGAACAAGAAAUCAUAGUGAUAAACAACUUACAUGACCUUCUCAUAGAUGGCAUUUUGGCUGGAAAAAAGGAUUUCAUCCUUUUGCCAUGACCAAAAUUGUUGUACUCCAGAGAUACCCUUUGAUAUUCCAGAUCAUGCAACACACUUCCACAUGAAGGUCAAUAUUUAGUUCGACCCUUUCAUGUAAAUCUCUGAGCUGGGCAAAUUGCAAGUGAAGGAAGUAAAAGACUUGCAGGACUCUGUUGUGAAAAGGCUGAUGAUUACAGCUGAGAUUCCUCCUGUAUGAGAAAACCAUCCCUUGGCUGAUGGUGUGGUUGCAUCUUGGAACAUCAAGCACAGUGUUUAUGUAAAUCUGAGUGUUCUUCUGCUUGUUCUGCUACAAAAGCCAUUCUCCCUGGGACACAGAAGGAAAUCCAGUGAGACAAGGUAAUAGAGAUGGAAGACUGCUAAUGGAAAGAUUAGGUCUCUGGGCUGUCAGACUUGUCUCUCUUAAGCACAUGUUUAUGCUUUAAGUUAAAUAAUACAGCAUGUUUAUGCAUGUGAAUAUAUAUAUACUGCAUAUGUAUCUGAAUGUAUGAAUGGUAAGAUGCUGUUCUGUGCAAGAAAGUCACAUCAGACUAGUUUCACAUUUUUAUGUAUUAUAUUACAUUUCAUUACAUUUAUAUUACAAUGUAAAAGGUUUCUGCCUUUCCCCAGAAAACACAAUCUUAACAUUCAUGUGCUCGUGUUCAACAAGCCUGUACACACACAGGAUCUUGGAGAGCAAGUUGGUUUGGAUGUUACCAGAAUUUUCUUGCCCCGCAGAUGGUUUCUGUCUCCUAGCUCUGGAUAAAAUAUGUCCUUGCCGUUGCUUCAGUGCUGGAUUCAAGUCCUGUUGAGGGAAUCAGUGGGUCGGGGUUCCCACUACUCCUGGUGUCCUUGUCCUUUUGUUCCAUAAAAAAGUUUUAUAUGUUCCUGUCACUGUACUUAAUAAACAAUUUAAAAAAAACCCCCAAACCCAAUCCAUCCAAAUCUAUUCUACUUUACCAAGUCUAAUUUUCUUGCCCUUUGCAGACCUUGAUAUUACUUGCAGCAACCUGUAUUUGGUGCAACAUAACUGCACUUAAGAGAUCAGGUCUCUCCAUUUGUUUCACUUUGUAGGAGUAAGGAUUUAUUUACUGGUUUGUGGCUGAUAACUCUUGGACAGAAAUACCCUUGUGUGUUUAUUUUCUAUGACAGUCUUUGUAAAGCUCUUUGGAGAUACUUUGUAGUCUUUGAAAAUAAUAGAAAGGGAGGGGAAGGAGUUGAUUUUGCUUCAUCUUCUUCAUUGUCUUCCCACUUCUUUUCUUCCACCUUGAGGGGAAGAGAGCACACUAAAUGAAGAGCUCAUGCCUCCCACUGAAGCCUUUACCUGAAAUGUGCCACAUCUGGACAGACAUAGCAACAUACUGACCUAAUUCUUCAUGUUGUGCAGCUGUGUACUCACUAUUUUAAGAGAUAAAUGGAUAACAGUCUCUCCAUUCUCCAGUGUAAAUUGACCAAAGCCUCUUCAUGUCAAUGAAGCGACAUAUGAAGUUGUGAAAGCUGAGAGCCUGGGGCUAAAUGUUAACUGCAAAAAGACAAGGCAGCUAUUGCAUUGGACUUUCAAAAAUUAUUGUGACCAUACAGCAUUUUCAGGUAGGAAUGGUGAUCUAGUUGAAAAAAAGAACUAUGUCUGAGCAUCAUCCAAGUUGAGCACUAAAGUGCAGUGUUCUCCAUAGUGAGUGCUGUGAUCUGGGAGCUCCUGUGGGACACCAGCCUCACAUCAAGUUAUCCAUGGAAAGACCUGCUAAUCCAGAGGAUGUGAUGUGCUCUCUGCAAGGCCAGCAGACGUGUCUCUCUCAGGGAGAAAAUAACUGGUUGUAGCAGCAGCAAGAAAGUAACCAGAUCUAUGCAGCUGCAUGAAAGGGUAAACUGUACUCUGGCUUUUGGGAGGCUUUCCUGGUGACACUUUCACUCCUUACCUCAGGUGAACAUUGAAGUGUGUCCUGCCAUGACCUACUGUCUGAAUUGUGGUCACAUCCAAGGAGAGGAGCAACAGGCUAGACAGUCAGAACUCUCCCACGCAACUUCCCUGGCACAGACCAGCAUCACCACUGAGCAUCUCCCUCCUCUGCUGCUGGUCCUGUCACACAGCUGGGCUUCAAAAGAGGAUGCUCCUCUCCCAUGUGCUUCAAAGAGAAACCAGGAGCCACAGAACAAUUACUCCCACUCACAAGACGAGGGGAAAUCCUCUUCUAACAAGGGAUCAUCCUGUUACAACGAGGAUGUCUGGUGAUUUAUGACUUGCUGCUUUAAACUCUCCUUCCCCUAUGAAGAAACACAGGAGACAGCAAAGCUGGAGGGAGAUACAAGAGAGAACUGACACUGGCAAUACUUAAAAUAUAGUGGGAGAGCUGGGAAAACCCUUUCUUUCUGUCCUCAUUAGCAUGACUUAAUUAAUACUUACAAUCUUAUCAAACAGAAGUUACCAUGCAGGAGGGAUGUGCAGGCUGGAAAUUAAAGCUUUAAUAAAUAGAUAUUUUAAGACCAAAAAAGCACCACUGUAAUUUUGUCAGGCUUCCUGUGUAAUUGAUGCC